CCUACGGGCGGCUGCAGUAGGGAAUAUUGGACAAUGGGCGAAAGCCUGAUCCAGCCAUGCCGCGUGAUAGAUGAAGGCCCUCUGGGUUGUAAAUAUCUUUUAUCUGGGAAGAAACAAUCUUAUUCUUAAGAUCUUGACGGUAACAGAGGAAUAAGCACCGGCUAACUCCGUGCCAGAAGCCGCGGUCAUACGGAGGGUGCAAGCGUUAUCCGGAUUCACUGGGGUUAAGGGGGGCGGAUAAGGCCUUGUAGAAAGCUCCGAGCUUAACUUGGAAACUGCCAUUGAUACUGCCAGUCUUGAAUGUCGUAGAGGUAAGCGGAAUGUUGCAUGUAGCGGUGAAAUGCUUAGAUAUGUGACAGAACACCAAUUGCGAAGGCAGCUUACUAUGCGAUGAUUGACGCUGAGGCACGAAAGCGUGGGGAGCAAACAGGAUUAGAUACCCCAGUAGUC
rnacentral:rRNA from 1 species